rnacentral:lncRNA from 1 species
GGGAGCUGGUGGAGUGAAGACACACCCCGCCCAGCCUGUGCGUGCUUAGUGUAGAGUCGCGGAGGAGUGGAGAGUAACAAAUUCACCAAGAUAUCACAGAAGUUCUAGUCGUUGAACACAACUAGUGGCCAUGAGGAUGCCAGUUCGACUCCUGGCCUCAUUCGGUGGGUUAAAGAUCCAGCCGUGCAGUGAGCUGUGGUGUAGGUCACCGCACCACACGUGGGAUCACGCGUUGCUGUUGCAGAGGCUGUGCGGUAGACCAGCAGCUGCAGUGCCCAUUUGACCCCUAGCCCAGGAACUUCCAUAUGCCAAUGGUGCAGCCCUAAAAAAAGAAGAAAAAAGAAAAGGUACGACAAUUUUAAAUGUCCACAUGCCUAAUAAAAGAACUUAAAAAUGUAUAAUGCAAAAACCAGUAGAACUAAAAGAAGAAACAGACAAAUCCAUGGUUGUAGUUAAGACUUUAACUCUUGGUAACUGACAAAACAGACAGACAAUAAAUCAGAUUUUUUUAAUUUCCAGGCAUGUAAGAAAAUUUCUGUCCAAUCUUAGCUGAGCACUAAGCUAAGAGAACAGAGACUUCAGUGGCCACACACAACAAAUAGACUUUACAAAAUUAAUUCAGAAAAUUUAUUAAACAACAACUACUACAAGCAGUAACAAUGAACUGUGUGGAGGGAAGAGAAUCUGAUUUCCAGAGAUGUCACAUUAUGGUAUUUGAAAUGUCCAGUUUUCAAAAAUUAUGAGGCAUCCCAAAAAAUAAGAAAGUAUGGCCCAGGAGUUCCAGUCAUGGCUCAGUGGAAAUGAAUCUGACUACUAUCCAUGAGGAUGUGGGUUUGAUCCCUGGCCUUGCUCAGUGGGUUAAGGAUCCAGCAUUGCCAUGAACUGUGGUGUAGAUUGCAGAUGAAGAUCAGAUCUGGCGUUGCUGUGGCUGUGGUGCAGGCCAGCAGCUACAGCUCCAAUUGGACUCCUAGCCUGGGAACAUCCAUAUGCCGCAGGUGUGGACCAUAAAAGACAAAAAAAAAAAAAAAAAAAAAAAA